UCGAAAAUGUUAAAGUUCUUAUUUCAUGGUAUAACUUUGGUAUGCUUGGACCUAGAGUCUUCAAACUUGACAUGAAGGUUGGCCAGGAUUAACAGAUGACCACUGGUCAUUUCAAGGUCAUUCAUUUGAAGGUCAAGGUCACUGUGACCUUCAAUAUAAAAAUGUUAAAGUUGUUAUAACUUUGGUAUGCUUGGACCUAGAGUCUUGAAACUUGACAUGAAGGUUGGCCAGAACUAGUAAGUAACCACUGGACAUUUCAAUGUCAUUCAUUUGAAGGUCAAGGUCACUGUGACCUUGAAUGUAAAAAUGUUAAAGUUGUUAUAACUUUGGUAUGCUUGGACCUAGAGUCUUGAAACUUGACAUGAAGGUUGGCCAGAACUAGUAAGUAACCACUGGACAUUUCAAGGUCAUUCAUUUGAAGGUCAAGGUCACUGUGACCUUGAAUGUAAAAAUGUUAAAGUUCUUAUUUCAUGUUAUAACUUUGGUAUGCUUGUACCUAGAGUCUUCAAACUUGAAAUAAAGAUUGGCCAGUACUAGAAGAUGACCACUGGUCAUUUCAAUGUCAUUCAUUUGAAGGUCAAGGUCACUGUGACCUUAAAUGUUAAAAUGUUAAAAUUGUUAUAACUUUGGUAUGCUUGGACAUAGAGUCUUCAAACUUGACAUGAAGGUUUGCAAGCACACUUAGAUGACCACUGGUCAUUUCAAGGUCAUUCAUUCUAAGGUCAAGGUCACUGUGACCUUGAAUGUAAAAAUGUUAAAGUUCUUAUAACUUUGGUAGGUAAAAAUGUUAAAGUUCUUAUUCCAUGUUAUAACUUUGGUAUGCUUGUACCUAGAGUCUUCAAACUUGACAUAAAGGUUGGCCAGUACUAGAAGAUCACCACUGCUCAUUUCAAUGUCAUUCAUUUGAAGGUCAAGGUCACUGUGACCUUCAAUGUUAAAAUGUUAAAAUUGUUAUAACUUUGGUAUGCUUGGACCUAGAAUCUCAAACUUGACGUAAAGGUUUGCAAGCACACUUAGAUGACCACUGGUCAUUUCAAGGUCAUUCAUUUCAAUGUCAUUCAUUUGAAGGUCAAGGUCACUGUGAACUUAAAUGUUAAAAUGUUAAAAUUGUUGUAACUUUGGUAUGCUUGGACCUAGAAUCUCAAACUUGACGUAAAGGUUUGCAAGCACACUUAGAUGACCACUGGUCAUUUCAAGGUCAUUCAUUUGAAGGUCGAGGUCACUGUGACCUUGGAUGUAAAUAUGUUAAAGUUGUUAAUACUUUGGUAUGCUUAGACCUAGAGUCUUCAAACUUGAUAUGAAGGUUGGCCAGAACUAGUAGAUGACCACUGGUCAUUUUAAGGUCAAGGUCACCGUGACCUUGAAUGUAAAAAUGUUAAAAUUCUUAUUUCAUGGUAUAACUUUCUUAUGCUUGGACUUACAGUCUUCAAACUGGACAUGAAGGUUGGCCAGCACUAGUAGAUGACAAUUGGUCAUUUUAAGGUCAUUGAAGGUCAAGGUCACUGUGACCUUGAAUGUUAAAAAUUAAAAGUUGUUUUAACUUUCGUAUGCUUGGACAUGGACUUUGCCAUGACUAACAGAUGACCACUGGUCAAGAGAACAACUGGUCAUUUUAAAGUCUUUCAAUUGACAGUGACCUUAAAUGUGAAUAUUUUUUUCAUGAUUUAACUUUGGUAUGCUUACCACUGGUAAUUUCAAGGACAUUCAAUUGAGGUUCACAGUUGCGGCAACUUCAAAUGUGAAAGGGCUCUAAAAUAUUAUAAUUUUUGCUGUUUCACUUUGUUGGGGUAGCUUUCAGUCCACUACAAGACAAGGUUGAAGAGACCUGUCUGCUGUGUAUUGGGAAUCCCAGUGUUUUGAAGAAUGCUAUAUGCAUGCAUUCAAAACAUAACACAAGGAUUGCUCAUGCCUUGAAAAGUACUUACAUUUCAUUUUGACCUUUGAACAAUAUUUCAGUAAUUUAAGUAUUGCAUUGACAAAAACACGAAAGGUACUUUCCUGUCAUUUAAAUCAAAAAUCCGGCUUCAAUGCGGUCAUCUCCGACCGCGGAACUCUUGUUUUAAU